GCCGGGGUACCCAAGCUAGGUAAGGGGUCAGCCUCGAGAUCUUAGGCCUACGUGUAAGCUGAUGUCCGUCAAGGACUCGUGGGUUCGAGUCCCACUCCCGGCG
rnacentral:tRNA from 1 species